GUGGGGAAUAUUGCACAAUGGGCGCAAGCCUGAUGCAGCAACGCCGCGUGAGGGACGACGGCCUUCGGGUUGUAAACCUCUUUUAGCAGGGAAGAAGCGAAAGUGACGGUACCUGCAGAAAAAGCACCGGCUAACUACGUGCCAGCAGCCGCGGUAAUACGUAGGGUGCAAGCGUUGUCCGGAAUUAUUGGGCGUAAAGAGCUCGUAGGCGGUUUGUCGCGUCUGCUGUGAAAACCCGAGGCUCAACCUCGGGCCUGGAGUGGGUACGGGCAGACUAGAGUGCGGUAGGGGAGAUUGGAAUUCCUGGUGUAGCGGUGGAAUGCGCAGAUAUCAGGAGGAACACCGAUGGCGAAGGCAGAUCUCUGGGCCGUAACUGACGCUGAGGAGCGAAAGCGUGGGGAGCGAACAGGAUUAGAAACCCGUGUAGUCC
rnacentral:rRNA from 1 species